AUUGCUAGUCGUGAAAAUUUUCUAUUCUUCAAAUUAGCUAAUAAAUUAACUCAAAUUUGGCAUAAAAAUGUGCACAAAACGUGUACCAAUCAAAAUGCUUGUGAUUUAACAUUAAACGUCGCCCUGGGCUUAUCGUUUUUGUAUAUUUGCGACGUUUUCCGCAACUGUCUGCGCGAAGGCUUUUGUAACUAAAACUCCGUUUUGACAUCACUUUCAUCAUAAUCUGAAUAAAAAUAAUAAUAAUAUAAAAAAAAAACCAUCGAAAACGAAUCAAAAAGCAAAUAAUAAUAAAUCAUCUAAUAAAAAAAAAACCAAGUUACAUACCAACAAAACAAACAAACCAACAACAAACAACUACAACAAAGCUCAAAAAGUCUAAGAGGCGUUUAAUAACCGGAGGGGCAUCUGCCAUAAACUUUUAGUUUUGAAAUUUCCUUUGUUUUCGUUUGCAAAUUCGCUUUAAACUCUACAAAAAUUAUAUGCCGAAAAGCUCACUAAAAAGUCUACACUUCAAAAAUCAAAAUUUGCGAAAAGACGAGAAUUUACGCGAAGAAAGACUGUAAAAAGCAAAAGCGAAACGUCGCCGUCUGCGGUGAGCGGCGCACAACAGAGUCAAGAGUCUGUUAGCGGGUGUGAGCGAGAUAGAAAGCGAGAGAGACAGAGCGAGAGAGAGAGAGAGAGACGACAUAGCGACUGCGCAUCUGUGCAAAAAAAAAAUAAAUAAAUAAAAAUAAAAACAACAACAAAACAAGCCAAGCUUAAAACGAAGACUUUCAAAACCAACAACAAAAACCAAACAAAAUUCAAACGCUGUGAAAUUAACUCGUCAAUACUCAAAGCAACAACAAAAAGAAAAAGAAAAAACAAAAACAAAAAAAAACCAAGCUAUAAAGAGAAAUCAACUGAAGUAAAACGGAGUUGAGGUCUUAACAAAUACAAUUACAAUUCAAAAACACACGCACGCACUAAAACAAAAACAAUAAUAUAAAAAAAAAAACAAAUUACAAAUAACAUAAACUGUCUAACUAAAGCAGCUAAAACGCGACGCUGAGGCGUUGACGUUGACGUCUAACUCGAAUAACACUAAAAGAAAAAUCAACAACAACAAAAACCACGUUUAACAAUCCCAAAAUUCCUCAUUUUUUUCCCUGAAAGCUUUAAUUUAAUUACGAAUUUUUGUUAAGUCAAAGUGAAUUCAAUUUGCUAAAAAUUAUUUAAAAUUAAGACAAAAACAAGAAGAACGCCGCCUCUAAUACAACAACAACAACAACAACAGGAACAAAGCAAGCGCAGAAGAGAAACACAAACAGCAAAAGCAACACCAACAACAACUACCAACAAACAACUGAAUUAAAGUUUUAAAGUACAAAAUAACCGGGAGUUAAAGAGAAGAAGAAUAAAAACAACAACAACAACUAAUUUAAACAUAUUAAAAACAUUUAAUUUAAACGCAACAUCAAUUUAAAUUAUUUUUUAAAGAAAAUAAACAGCAAAUAUUAUAGUUCGUAAGCCCAAAAACAAAAACGACAACUUUGUCGCCUGUCGUGCGGCGGCCGUGUGUAAAAGUGCAAAAGCGCUAGAAGAAGAGCAGAGCGAGAGAGAGAGAGAGCGCGAGCAACAGAGAGAGAGUGACGGUGCGAUCGUGAGCGAGUCACCGUUAGAAAGUUCCGCCUUGUAAAAGAACAGAAAAAAAAAACAAACAAACAAACGAUAAAGCAACAAUUGUGCCGCAAAGAAAAAACAAAACACACAAAACUAAAAAAAAAAAUGUACUAAAAACUGUAAAAUAAAAAAACGAGCAACUAAAAACGGUAACAAUAAAGAAAAACAUUUAAAACCAAAAAUCUACAAGAAUUCUAUUAGUCCUAAGUAACUUUUACAACAACAA